rnacentral:rRNA from 1 species
AGAGUUUGAUCAUGGCUCAGAUUGAACGCUGGCGGCAUGCCUUACACAUGCAAGUCGAACGGUAACGCGGGGCAACCUGGCGACGAGUGGCGAACGGGUGAGUAAUAUAUCGGAACGUGCCCAGUAGUGGGGGAUAGCCCGGCGAAAGCCGGAUUAAUACCGCAUACGACCUAAGGGUGAAAGGGGGGGAUCGCAAGACCUCUCGCUAUUGGAGCGGCCGAUAUCAGAUUAGGUAGUUGGUGGGGUAAAAGCCCACCAAGCCGACGAUCUGUAGCUGGUCUGAGAGGACGACCAGCCACACUGGGACUGAGACACGGCCCAGACUCCUACGGGAGGCAGCAGUGGGGAAUUUUGGACAAUGGGCGCAAGCCUGAUCCAGCCAUGCCGCGUGCGAGAAGAAGGCCUUCGGGUUGUAAACCGCUUUUGUCAGGGAAGAAAUCCCUUGGGAUAAUACCUCGGGGGGAUGACGGUACCUGAAGAAUAGC